CUAGGGGGAUUCCGCAGCUCUACGCCUACGCGGCCAACUUUCUGAUGGCCAAGUUCUUGCAGGCCUAAACCAAGAUGACGGUGACGGCUGUGAUAACUGAAGUGGCUUUGGUUUUUCACUCUCUUCAGCUGGCUGUUGACGCUGAAGUUGCGGUGGGGUCUAGUGGGUGCCGCCGUGGUGCUCAACGCUUCGUGGUGGUUCAUAGUGGUGGCUCAACUCCUUUAUAAAUUUAGUGGAGCCUGUGGUCGAUCAUGGUCCUGGUUUUCAUGGAAGGCAUUUCAGAAUCUCCGGGGUUUUGUGAGGCUAUCUCUUGCAUCCGCAAUAAUACUUUGGGGAUUUGGUAUGGCACGCUGAUAGGAACACUGUUGCAAACGGGUGUACUGUUCUGUGUGGUUUACAGAACCAACUGGAAUAAAGAGGCUUUUAUUGCAGAAAAGAGAAUAAAAACCAUGGGGUGGAGAACCAAUCGCUAGAGAGAACGAUGUGAAGAAUUAAUCAACUAAACUCGAUAAUAAUAUGAAAUUACAAACACGGAUUUGCAUAUGUGAAAAAAAAUUCAAUUGCAGAGAGGAGAAAGCAACAAUUUUACCAUUGCAACAAAUUCAAUGCCCAUAAGAAUUCUUUGUUAUGCAUUAAGGCAACUUAUCGCUCCAAAUCCUUAUUUGAAAGGGAAAAAAAACCAUUAUUGCUAUAUAUAUGUAUAGGAAUUUCAACUUUUGAAAUUGACUAAUAUUUCUGUGAAUAUUUGUGUAGCUUUAGAAGGUAUAUGUAAUAAUGUCUGUCUUGAUUAAAGUACAAGCAUGUGAUGUGCUAUAUAUAGUUGCGGAGACAAAUUUUGAACCCUUAAGAACGUGACACCUUUACAA